rnacentral:rRNA from 1 species
GCCAUGCGAGUCGAGAGGGUUCGGCCCUCGGCGGACUGCUCAGUAACACGUGGAUAAUCUGCCCUUAGGUGGAGGAUAACCUCGGGAAACUGAGAAUAAUACUCCAUAGGUCUAGGAUGCUGGAAUGCAUCUAGACUCAAAGAUUUAUCGCCUAAGGAUGAGUCUGCGGACUAUCAGGUUGUAGUCAGGGUAAUGGCCUGACUAGCCUACGACGGAUACGGGUUGUGAGAGCAAUAACCCGGAGACGAUAUCUGAGACACGAUAUCGGGCCCUACGGGGCGCAGCAGGCGCGAAACCUUCACACUGUGCGAAAGCGCGAUGAGGGGAUCCCAAGUGCUUGCUCUUAGGAGUAAGCUGUUUUCCUGUUUAAAUCGCAGGAAGAGGAAGGGCUGGGUAAGACGGGUGCCAGCCGCCGCGGUAAUACCUGCAGCUCAAGUGGUGACCGCUAUUAUUGGGCCUAAAACGUCCGUAGCCGGUUGAGUAAAUGCCUGGGUAAAUCGUGUCGCUUAACGAUACGAAUUCCGGGUAGACUGCUCAGCUUGGGACCGGGAGAAGCUAGAGGUACUCCUGGGGUAGAGGUGAAAUUCUGUAAUCCUGGGGGGACCACCAGUGGCGAAGGCGUCUAGCUAGAACGGGUCUGACGGUGAGGGACGAAACCCUGGGGCGCGAACCGGAUUAGAUACCCGGGUAGUCCAGGGCGCAAACGCUGCUUGCUUGAUGUUAG